rnacentral:rRNA from 1 species
GACGAACGCUGGCGGCGUGCCUAAUACAUGCAAGUCGAGCGAGCGGCGGACGGGUGAGUAAUGUAUGGGGACGGCCCGAUAGAGGGGGAUAACUACUGGAAACGGUGGCUAAUACCGCAUACUAGCGGAUAACCCAUAGGGGAUUAGCUAGUAGGUGGGGUAAAGGCCCACCGAGGCGACGAUCUGUAGCUGGUCUGAGGGGAUGAUCAGCCGCACGGGGACUGAGACACGGACUAGACUCCGACGGAGGCAGCGGUGGGGCAGAUUGCACAAUGGGCGAAAGCCUGAAGCAGCCAUGCCGCGUGUAUGAAUAGGGCCUUAGGGUUGUAGAGUACUUUCAGCGGGGAGGCGUUACCCGCAGAAGAAGCACCGGCUAACUCCGUGCCAGCCGCCGCGGUAAUUC